AGGAACUAACCCAGGAGUGUGAUGAAAAGAAAUCCCAAUAUGAUAGCUGUGCAGCAGGCCUCGAAAGCAAUCGGUCCAAAUUAGAACAGGAAGUUAGAGGACUCCGGGAAGAGUGUCUUCAAGAAGAAAGUAAAUACCAUUAUACAAAUUGUAUGAUUAAGGACCUAGAAGUUCAACUUCGUCGCGCUACUGAUGAGAUGAAAGCAUAUGUCUCCUCCGAUCAACAAGAAAAGAGGAAGGCAAUUAGGGAACAGUAUACCAAAAAUAUUACUGAACAAGAAAACCUUGGAAAGAAACUUCGAGAAAAACAAAAAGCUGUACGAGAAAGUCAUGGUCCAAAUAUGAAACAAGUGAAAAUGUGGCAUGAUUUUGAACAAUUGAUGGAAUGUAAAAAACAAUGCUUUCUGAAACAACAAAGCCAAACUUCUGUUGGUCAGGUAAUUCAGGAGGGAGGAGAGGACCGGCUGAUACUGUGAAUUCUUGGGUCAUUGUUUUGGGUUGUACUUGACACUAUUAGUUAUAAGCACAUUCCAUAAUGUAUUUCUUUCCUUGAAAGUCAUUUGAACAACCUUUUGCUUUCAGGUUAACCAUUCCUUUUUAAAAAGUUUUCUUGGAAAGUUAAGGUAGAUUUAGAUUUAAAAGGGUUUUGGUUGUUGUUGUUUAAUAUGAAAAAGAAGCUUUUUUUGUUUAGUGUAGAUAUCAGUGGUGUCUCCUAGGUUUUUAUGGGGGAAGAGACUAAGUUUACUAUCUACAGAUGUAAA